CAAUAAAUAAUAAAUAAAUGUAUUAAAAAAAUGCACAAAAUAAGCCACCCAUUCGGAUGUUCAGAGGCUCCAUAGUUACCGUGGAAACGCCAUCAUCUUCUACAUCCCACCACAUGUAGCUCAUUUAAUGCGAUAAAUCCAACAAAUCGCUGAAGAAAUAAAGUUAAAAAAAAAAAAAGAAAAAUACAUAAUAUAAGAGGGAAAAUGUUGAAUUAUUUUUGCUAGAAUCACCACAUGUUGUGAGUUAUAUGAAGUACUAGUGCAUUCAACACUGACAAUGGAAAGUAACAUGAGGUAAUAAAAGGUUGAAAGUAAUGAAGUAAAGUAAUGUGGAAAAGAUGUACUAAAAUAAAGCAAAAAUGACUACAUAAGUGACAAAAUGAAAAAAAAAAAAACAGCCAAAAUAAUGAAUAAAAUGAACAAAAAAGACUAUUAAAUCAACAAAUUCAUCAUAAUUAAUAAUACGUUUUUUAAAAAAGUAAGUAAAAUGAACAAAAUAAAUCACAAGCUGAACAAAAUUGAAGAAAAAUGAACAAAAUAAUGAACAAAAACAUUAAAUAAUAAAUGAAGUGUAUAAAAAAUGCACAAAAUAAGCCACCCAUUUGGACGUUCAGAGGCUCUGUUGUUGCCGUGGAAACGCUAUCAUCUUCUACAUCCUACCACAUGUAGCUCAUUUAAUGUAAUAAAUCCAACAAAUUGUUGAAGAAAUACUGUAAAACAAACAAAACACAAUGUAAGAGGGAAUAUGAUGAAUUAUUUUUGCUGGAAUCACCACAUGAUAUGAGUUAUAUGAAGUACUAGUGCAUUCAACACUGACAACAGAAAGUAACAUGAGGUAAUAAAAGGUUGAAAGUAAUGAAGUGACGUACUGUUCAUACGUUUAGUCUAGUUUUGAGUCUUUGUUACAACAGAAGGAGGAGGCGGAGCUCCGGCUGUGUCUUGGUGUGUAAUAUGGUCACCCUGUUCUGUGUGUCCUCGGGUGCAGAAGGAGCUUUGUUGGGUGUGUCCCCCCCACCCCCACCCCACUGUCCUACAUGGCUUGUGUUUCACUGUUGGAACUUCUGAAGAUUAGCGUGGAAGCCAGACUACAAACUGAGCCUAAUUCGAGCUCAUGUGCAGUUUCAGCUUUGACAAUAAGAGCUCCUUCGUGACUGAAUGUGUCAGUGGUCUGCUUUCAAGAACUUCAACAGGAAUGUCAAGUGUUUACAUUCCGUCCACUCCCUGACCCCUUUUCCUUAGCCAGAGGAAAUCAAGCCCCUUAUCAACCGCCGUAACAUGGCCACAUUUUAAUAACACGUGUAUGAUUAGGCACAAAACAUGUCAUUGGGGAAAUUUCAUGCAUGAGCGAAAGAAGAAGAAAAAACCAAAACAUUAAACUGUAGUCAACCACCUCUCAUAUGGAUGAACAAAAACAUCCAAAGUAAGGAAUAAAAUAUCCAAAAUGAUCAAUAAAUAAACUAAUUGAUAUGUAAAA